AUACAUUUUUAGGCAUGGUUGUGUUUUAUUAUGCAAUACAUAGACAUUCAAUUUAUAUUUCAUGUAAUAAACAUCACACAAUAGUGAAAUAGGUUAUAAUUAGUAAAGACAUCACGAUAACAUUUGAUCAGGCAUUACCACCUGGGUCCUAAAAGAGACCUGUUUUCUUGGGGGAACUUGAUUUCUCAUGACAUCGGCGCGCAGCAAACAAAGCUUGUCUUCUUCUUGUGACAGACAGCCACAUGGCGAGAAGCAAGAACAAGAUCUGCUGUGUCACUUUCUUCCUCGAGCGAGAAUGACGUCGAUCGCUACUAACAGCUGUUACAGAUCAACUAGGGCUCAUGUUAACUGAGGACGUGCGCGUGCACGCAGAUAGUUUUACCUGACUUUCCAGCAGAUAUUGGACAGCGCCUGAUUCGUCACAGGGAAUUUUUCACAGAGCAGAUUUAAAGGCUUUCCGCAUUAUCUGUGAAUGUUUGUAUCAUUAUUGGACUUUGUUGUUUCUCCUGUGGCCGUUCUAAUGUAUCAGACGCCGUUUAAGGGAAAUUUUUAAUGCAUUUUUAUGUCGUGUCUCACAGACCACGCCCAUAUAAAAAAAUAAAAAAAAACAGCAAUUAUGCAUAUUUCUACAACCCACACACAAUCACUUAACCUUGUUUAAAAUAGCUACUGCAUUGGGCACAAAAGAAUUCCUGUAAGCCUUCUUUCUAGCCAAGGGAGUUCUAAACCGGCAACCUGAUGGAAGUAGCUGAAAAGCAUCAUAAAGAGGAUGUGUACAAUCUGUAAUAAUAGAAGCUGCUUUCCUCUUAACUGCCAUACAAUAAAGGUUUGAAAGGUCAAGCUGCGAGACCCCAGUAAUCUUUGAUGCCUGAUUAAUAAUUCUUGAUAUUUUUUUCUUAUUUUCAGCUGAAAGUAAGCUAUACCAAGAAACAAUAUUAAAUGUCAUGACUAAUUCCACAAGUGACCAAUACACUGUAGUCAUAAUGUCCUGUCUAACAUUAAAUCUUUUCAGCUGUCUCAGAAGAAAUAAACGCUGAUUAGCCUUCUUGUAGACACCAUUCGCAUGUUGUGCAAAGGAAAGUUGGCUGUCAAUCACAGUACCUAAAUAUGUAAAGGAUUCAACCUGCCCCCAUAACAUAAGUGGUUCAUAAAGUGAAGAAGAAAUUUUGGAUGGACAAACCCCCCCACAGCACAACUCUUUGGUCUUACUUAUGUUCAGCUUUAGGGAACUGUCAUGGAACCAACCAACCAUGGAUUCAACAAAUUGCCUGUAUAUAACCAGGGACUGCUUGUCUGUCAUACAAGCCACCAAAGCCAUGUCAUCUGCGUAUUUCAAAAGUGAAAUACCCUUAAUUCCACACAUGAUUUCAUUUGUGUUUAUGGAAAAUAGAAUAGGUGCAAGACACAACCUUGUGGAACUCCCAUAUUUAUAAUAAUACUACUAGAUUUGUGGUCAUACAUUCUAAUAUAUUGGGGUCUAUUCAUUAAAAAAUCCUUAAUCCAUUGCACAAGAGUUAAAUUAACUUGUAAUCUUUGAAGACGGUCCACACAAUAGAUUAAUAUUGACUGUGUUGAAAGCAGAUGCAAGAUCCAUAAAUAAAAUCCUAACAAACGAGUCAGGAGCAUCCAAAUGUCUAGUAACAGUAUCUAAAAGAGUUAGACAAGCAUCUUCAACUCUUCGUUUCAACUUGUAGGCAAACUGGAGCGGGUCUAAACAGCUCCCCUACUACCACCCUCUCCAUGCAUUUACAAAGAACCGAGUGUUUAGUGACCACUGGAAAAGCUGAGCCAUUCCACAUAAUUGAGCCGAACACUCCUUCAAUAUGCAGCUUUCAAGACCAUCUGGGCCUGGAGCUUUCCCUGACUUUAACCUAGAAAGAAUGGAAAUGACCCUUUGCUCAUCCACACUGAUAAGAGUGGGAGCAUUACUGUUAUUAAUCAGAUCCCAGACCUUCACAGAGCUGAUCACAUUGAACCUUGCAUAAAAAGUGAGGAAGUAGGAUUUGAACACGGCACUCGAGCUGACACCUGUGCUUUUCCCAUCAUCAUAUUAAGAUUCUGCCAUGCAGUUUUUGUAUUCCCUCUUGUAAAUCUCUCCAUUCUGUCUUUAUAUCGGAGCUUGGCUACCCUUGUUUUAAUCUUCAGUUCCUUCCUCAGUUCAUUUACACAUCUUUUGUCACCCUCAAUAAAUGCCAUUUCUUUUUGUUUCAUUUCUUUAAUAACCCAUGGCUUAUUGUUUGGAUAAAGUUUGACCUCCUUAGUCGGGAUAACAUUACCAGCACAAAAGGACAUAUGUGAGUCAUUAAGUAAGUCCAAAUUUCCCUUGCUGCUCUGGAAAAACAUCUCCCAGUCAGUUGCUUCAAAACACCCCCUCAGAGUUUCCACAGAGUCAUUAUUCCAAACCUGAAUGGUCUUUGUUUGAAUCUUAUGUGAUUUCAAUCGCUGUCUGUAUUUUGACAACAAUAAAAUUACAUUAUGAUCUGAGAAGCCAAGGGGAGGGAGGGAUUUAGAAACGUAUGCACCAGGUAUAUUACCAAAACACAAAUCCAGCGUUCUGUUCAAGCAAAAUAAACUUGUGUUCCAGUAGUCAGAAUUGGUCUUUAUCAGCACGGACAGUUUAUCUAAUUUGUUCCGUAAUGAGCGCACAUUUGAUAGAAUAAAAGCAGGUAAAGGUAGCUUACUUCCACAUCUUCUCACCCGGUUUCUAAUACCUCCUCUUGAUCCUCGCAAGUCCAAGUCAUUUUUUUUUUUUUGAGAAUCAAGCAAGUCAAGUCAAGUCACUGCUUUAUGUCAAGCAAUUCAAGUCAAGUUGUAGCUUGGGUCAAACAAGUCAAUGGCAAGUCAUACAAAUGUUUGAUGAUUUAACUGAAUUUAUAGUGAAAUAAAACUACAGUAGUUAUGGAAUAUGGGAGUUUUAUUUGCAACAAAAAAACUGUAAUGUGCAUUUCUACUCAAAAGGUGUUCACAUACAGCUGAGUUGUUAAUACAAUAAAAAUAAAUAAAUAAAUGAAUGUGUGUGUGUGCGUGCGUAUGAGUGAAAAGUGUAUUGUUUGCAUGUGCAUGUUUGUAAAUUUGAUUGUUUUUUCUUUUUAUUUGUGUGUGUGUGUGAGUGAGUGAGUGAGUGAGAGAGAGAGAGAGAGAGAGAGAGAGAGAGAGAGAGAGAGAGAGAGAGGUGACUUGACUGAGUGUGAUUCAUUAAUAUUUGUAAGUGUGUGUGCAAAAGUGCAAAAGUGUAUGAGUGAAAAGUGUAUUGUUUAUUUGCAAGUUUGAUUUUUUUUUUGUGUGUGUGCAUGCAUGGUUGGGUUUGCAAGUCUGUAUGUGUACACAGUAUAUUUAUAUGCAUCCCCAUAAACUAUCCAUAGGCUUUUCACUCAAAGUCUAACAAUGAAGACCAAUUAUUAGACACUGUACACAUAAUGAGUGCUAUUGCAAAAAAAAAAAAAAAAAAGAUAUUUCCUUAUUAACAGUGAAUAACCAUUUACAAUGCAUUGCACUUGCAAAAAAAUUAAAUGUGAAUUUUCUCUGUUACCUUUGUUUUUUGAUUGUCUUCAAUGGCCUGCCGCACAUGACGCGGAUCUCACGCGUGUCCCACUUUCUCACAACUAUUUACUUUCGUUUAAGACUUUAUUUAACUCAUUUAAGGCUGCUCUAAUGAGGAUACUCGACAAAACGGAUAUUUUUGGCAUUAUUGGGUGCGUUUUUGUUCGUUAAAGCGUGACAUUCCUGCGCGUCUUUCUGUGCGUCGUGUGUGUGACAGCAGGACAUUUACAGACGGCGCGUUCUCUUUUUCUCUUUUGGCGCGCUUAAAUGGUUUAAAAGCAUUUGCAUGAAUAAGAGCUUGAUCAUAUUGUAAUGCUAGCCAAAGGAUGACAGAAAAAAACGGAUGCUGCGUUUGCGUUAAAUAUUUUUGACGCGUUAAAUUUUAAAAAGAUGACAGCACUGAUUUUAACCCAGUUUUCUUUUUAAUGAACACAAAACCAAUUCAAAGUCAACUCUUAACAUGUCCACAAUGUUAUGUUUUUUACUUAAUUAUUCUUGGCGUAGCGCCUUCCAUGUUCAGUCACGGCUGUCCAUGAGAGAGUUCACGAUAGCGCUCUCUGCUUGCCUGCUGCGUCACGUGGUUAGGUUGCGGUGCGUUCAAAAACAGAUAUUUAUUAAACAAAAGACAAGUUAUAUCGAGUCAUUUAUAACUCAAGUCAUGAAUGUCAAGUCAAGUCUUUUAUUAAUAUUUGUCAAGCAAGUCUCAAGUCCUUAAGUCUGACUCGAGUCAAGUCAUGUGACUCGAGUCCCCCAUCUCUGGCUGGUAGGCUCCCACAUGCCCAAACAGAUUGAGCGCACAAAAAAGUCCACAAGCAGUAUCCAUAAUUUAAAAACGGCGCACAUCGUAUAAAGAAAAACUGCACAUAAAGUGCACGCCAAUUUAAAACAAGACAAAACAGAUAAACAAUAAAUACACACAAACAGAGCCUUAACUGCGAGUCGCUCAAUCAUAGGAGCGCCCCGUCCUUUAUAUAACAUUUUGUUUACAUUCGUUUGUUUCUGAUGACAAUUUUUAAGUGCAAUAAAUACGUUUCUUUGCAACGCUUGUGCAUAUGCAUUUUUUUUAUAUAUAUAUUGCUAAAGGAGUUAUAAAGCAUACUCCAUAAAUGUUCUGACUUUGCAAUUCAUGUUUUCUUUAGGUAUCUUACUGCUAAUUUUAACUUAAUCUGUCUGUAAUAAUUUGUGAUUAGAACACAGCACACUACAAACACAAUAUGAUACACUAAUGUUGAAAAGAAAAUCCUUACAGUUCUACUUAAGUUCGUUGACAAGUUUAGGGUGACCUAGCUGUGUCCCAAUUCAGGGGCUACGCACUUCGGAGUGCAUGAAAGGGGUGGGGCUUUGGAGUGGAGGGUUGCCAGCUCUGCAAAAACAAAACCAUCCCAAAAGUAGCGUAAUCACAGCACAAGUGUAAAAGUAUCCCAAUCCCAGACGUGGCAACAAUGAGCCGAGCGUCGUUACAUGGCUAGCGGCUGUGUGACAGCUGACAGUUGACGUUUGUGUGUGCAUUUUAAAGUUUUCACUGCCGGCGACGACGGGACACUGGACCAUAUGAACAGAACUCCUGUCGUCACCGGCGCGCAAUGAAUUGUGGGAUAGGGUAGACCGCGAAGUGUCUUGAGAUGGACGCUUCAUUCCACGGGGAAACGGAGAGGGUGCAUUUGAAGUCGCUCUCGAAUUACGUCAGCCCUCCUCGCGCCGCGGUGAAUCACACUUCAAAGGCCGCUUUUUUCAGUUUUCUCAAGAACAGAAUACAGUGCAUAAAAUGGGUACAUUAAAAAUGUGUCGAUAUAAAUAUUGUUUAAAUGUCACUUUGUCAAUGAAACACCCCAAUUUCUGUACAGCUUAUUUUUGUGAUGUAAGUUAAAAAUGAAAUGCAUAAGUUGUAUACAUUAUAUUUGUAAUGUAAUUUAUUUGUAAAUGAGCCAGAGUAAUUUCUGUUAAAAAAUUUUUACGUUCACAUGUGUAAAUAAAAGAGAAUUGUUCAUUG